rnacentral:rRNA from 1 species
UACAGAGGGUGCAAGCGUUGUUCGGAAUUAUUGGGCGUAAAGGGAGUGUAGGCGGCUAGGCAAGUCUUCUGUGAAAUCUACGGGCUCAGCCUGUAACGUGCAGAGGAAACUAUCUGGCUAGAGUGUCGGAGAGGAUAGGGGAAUACCCAGUGUAGAGGUGAAAUUCGUAGAGAUUGGGUGGAACACCAGUGGCGAAGGCGCCUGUCUGGCUGACAACUGACGCUGAGACUCGAAAGCAUGGGGAGCAAACAGG